rnacentral:rRNA from 1 species
AGAGUUUGAUCCUGGCUCAGAUUGAACGCUGGCGGCAUGCCUAACACAUGCAAGUCGAACGCGAAAGCACCUUCGGGUGCAAGUAGAGUGGCGGACGGGUGAGUAACGCGUGGGAAUCUGCCCAGUAGCUGGGGAUAACUCGAGGAAACUCGAGCUAAUACCGAAUACGCCCUACGGGGGAAAGGCUUCGGCCACUAUUGGAUGAGCCCGCGUCAGAUUAGCUAGUUGGUAGGGUAAUGGCCUACCAAGGCGACGAUCUGUAGCUGGUCUGAGAGGACGAACAGCCACACUGGGACUGAGACACGGCCCAGACUCCUACGGGAGGCAGCAGUGGGGAAUAUUGGACAAUGGGCGAAAGCCUGAUCCAGCAAUGCCGCGUGUGUGAAGAAGGCCUGUGGGUUGUAAAGCACUUUCAGUUGGGAAGAUUAUGAUGUUACCAACAGAAGAAGCACCGGUUAACUCCGUGCCAGUAGCCGUGGUAAUACGGAGGGUGCAAGCGUUAAUCGGAAUUACUGGGCGUAAAGCGCGCGUAGGCGGCUAAGUCAGUCAGAUGUGAAAGCCCCGGGUUUAACCUGGGAACUGCAUUUGAUACUGCUUAGCUAGAGUAUGGUAGAGGGAAGUGGAAUUCCAGGUGUAGUGGUGAAAUGUGUAGAUAUCUGGAGGAAUAUUAGUGGUGAAGGCGACUUCCUGGACCAAUACUGACGCUGAGGUGCGAAAGCGUGGGUAGUAAACAGGAUUAGAUACCCUGGUAGUCCACGCCGUAAACGAUGUCAACUAGCCGUCGGGUCUAUUUAAGGAUUUGGUGGCGCAGUUAACGCGAUAAGUUGACCGCCUGGGGAGUACGGCCGCAAGGUUAAAACUCAAAGGAAUUGACGGGGGCCCGCACAAGCGGUGGAGCAUGUGGUUUAAUUUGAUGCAAUGUGAAGAAUCUUACCAGCCCUUGACAUCCUCGGAACUUUUUAGAAAUAGAUUGGUGUUUUUGGGAACCGAGUGACAGGUGCUGCAUGGCUGUCGUCAGCUCGUGUUGUGAGAUGUUGGGUUAAGUCUUGUAACGAGCGCAACCCUUGUCCUUAGUUGCCAGUAUGUAAUGGUGGGAACUCUAAGGAGACUGCCGGUGAUAAACCGGAGGAAGGUGGGGAUGACGUCAAGUCAUCAUGGCCCUUAUGGGCUGGGCUACACACGUGCUACAAUGGCCGGUACAGAGGGCCGCAAACCCGUAAGGGGGAGCUAAUCUCACAAAACCGGUCGUAGUCCGGAUCGCAGUCUGUAACUCGACUGCGUGAAGUCGGAAUCGCUAGUAAUCGCAGAUUAGAAUGCUGCGGUGAAUACGUUCCCGGGCCUUGUACACACCGCCCGUCACACCAUGGGAGUGGGUUGCAAAAGAAGUGGGUAGCUUAAUUUUUGGGAGAGCGCUCACCACUUUGUGAUUCAUGACUGGGGUGAAGUCGGAACAAGGUA